rnacentral:misc_RNA from 1 species
CUCUUUCUCCAUCUUAUUCAAGUACUCUUGAACAACAUUACUACCUCUUGUAUCAUUCAAGAAAAUUCUAAGGUGCAGCUUAGACUGGCAUGCUUGUGCUAACUUUCCUCGAAGAGGAACCCACACAUCAGCAAGAUCAGAAACAUUUGAUUUCACAAAAUUAAUUUCAGCAUGUCCCAAAGACGCUGCUUCAUCAAAAGGCCCAUCAAAAUCAUAAAC